rnacentral:rRNA from 1 species
AUUGAACGCUGGCGGCAGGCCUAACACAUGCAAGUCGAGCGGAUGAAGGGAGCUUGCUCCUGGAUUCAGCGGCGGACGGGUGAGUAAUGCCUAGGAAUCUGCCUGGUAGUGGGGGAUAACGUCCGGAAACGGGCGCUAAUACCGCAUACGUCCUGAGGGAGAAAGUGGGGGAUCUUCGGACCUCACGCUAUCAGAUGAGCCUAGGUCGGAUUAGCUAGUUGGUGAGGUAAAGGCCUACCAAGGCGACGAUCCGUAACUGGUCUGAGAGGAUGAUCAGUCACACUGGAACUGAGACACGGUCCAGACUCCUACGGGAGGCAGCAGUGGGGAAUAUUGGACAAUGGGCGAAAGCCUGAUCCAGCCAUGCCGCGUGUGUGAAGAUGGUCUUCGGAUUGUAAAGCACUUUAAGUUGGGAGGAAGGGCAGUAAGUUAAUACCUUGCUGUUUUGACGUUACCAACAGAAUAAGCACCGGCUAACUUCGUG